AUGUUCUUUGUUGCCCUGAUCCUGCUGGGAGCUGCUACAUCCUGUGUGUAUUGUAUUGAUCUCAACCAGCCAGAUUCAAGGGUUGUGCAGCCUGGACAGUCUAUGACCAUCACCUGUCGGGUCUCUGGUUAUUCUGUGACUGAUGGCUAUGGAACAUGUUGGAUCAGACAGCGUGAGGGAAAACAAAUGGAUUGGAUUUUCUGCAUAUGGUCUGAUGGGAGCAGUAGCAAAAAUGAUGCUUUAAAGAACAAGUUCAGCAUCAGCAGAGACACUUCUGCUCAAACAGUGACAAUAACAGGACAGAAUCUGCAGCCUGAGGACACAGCUGUUUAUUACUGUGCACGUAGGGACACAGUGAUAUAAACCACUGACAGACCAUCACAAAUA